UGGCUCAGGACGAACGCUGGCGGCGUGCUUAAUACAUGCAAGUCGAGCGAGCUUGCCUAGAUGAAUUUGGUGCUUGCACCAGAUGAAACUAGAUACAAGCGAGCGGCGGACGGGUGAGUAACACGUGGGUAACCUGCCCAAGAGACUGGGAUAACACCUGGAAACAGAUGCUAAUACCGGAUAACAACACUAGACGCAUGUCUAGAGUUUAAAAGAUGGUUCUGCUAUCACUCUUGGAUGGACCUGCGGUGCAUUAGCUAGUUGGUAAGGCAACGGCUUACCAAGGCAAUGAUGCAUAGCCGAGUUGAGAGACUGAUCGGCCACAUUGGGACUGAGACACGGCCCAAACUCCUACGGGAGGCAGCAGUAGGGAAUCUUCCACAAUGGACGCAAGUCUGAUGGAGCAACGCCGCGUGAGUGAAGAAGGGUUUCGGCUCGUAAAGCUCUGUUGGUAGUGAAGAAAGAUAGAGGUAGUAACUGGCCUUUAUUUGACGGUAAUUACUUAGAAAGUCACGGCUAACUACGUGCCAGCAGCCGCGGUAAUACGUAGGUGGCAAGCGUUGUCCGGAUUUAUUGGGCGUAAAGCGAGUGCAGGCGGUUCAAUAAGUCUGAUGUGAAAGCUUCGGCUCAACCGGAGAAUUGCAUCAGAAACUGUUGAACUUGAGU
rnacentral:rRNA from 1 species